rnacentral:rRNA from 1 species
GUGCCAGCAGCCGCGGUAAUACGUAGGGCGCAAGCGUUGUCCGGAAUUAUUGGGCGUAAAGAGCUCGUAGGCGGUUUGUCGCGUCUGCUGUGAAAUCCUGAGGCUCAACCUCGGGCGUGCAGUGGGUACGGGCAGACUAGAGUGCGGUAGGGAGAAUGGGAAUUCCUGGUGUAGCGGUGGAAUGCGCAGAUAUCAGGAGGAACACCGAUGGCGAAGGCAGUUCUCUGGGCCGUAACUGACGCUGAGGAGCGAAAGCGUGGGGAGCGAACAGGAUUAGAUACCCUGGUAGUCCACGCCGUAAACGUUGGGCGCUAGUUGUGGGGACCAUUCCACGGUUUCCGUGACGCAGCUAACGCAUUAAGCGCCCCGCCUGGGGAGUACGGCCGCAAGGCUAAAACUCAAAGGAAUUGACGGGGCCCGCACAAGCGGCGGAGCAUGCGGAUAAUUCGAUGCAACGCGAAGAACCUUACCAAGGCUUGACAUAUACGGAACGGGCUAGAAAUAGUCUUCUCUUUGGACACUCGUAUACAGG